UAAAUUAUCUCCUCGCUCUUUCUUGUUUUUUCUUAUAAUAGAAACAUUUUCCUUCCAUCAGGAAUUUCUGGCACGGUGUAGGGAUGAUUUAGAACAAGCCAUUGAAUUUCUAUCUCACCGGCCAACCAAGGCUGUGUUCAACUGCAGAAUGAGUUGCAGGGUGAGCUUUGUUCAGGAUUUCUCCACUGCCCAUUAACACCAGAAAGUUUCAGCUCUUCCUCCGGAUGCCUCCUCAGGACCUCCUGGAUCCCUUCUCCAAAGAAAAACCUUGUUUGUUUAAUGAAGGAAAGUUGGAGUACGGAGAAGCCAAUAGGAUGCGGGGUCUCUAAUGGAUGCAAAUGAUCAUGAAAAGACAGUGCAAAAUAUGAAACAACUCAUUUGCAGGGAAGUAAAUCACCGAAAACUGUUUAUGAACUGGCAUCCCUUCUUCGAAAUGUAAAGCGAGGACCUCUUUAAGUGGCUGUAUAUUUUUGUGUGGGGGGUGGGGGGGGGGGGGGGGGGGCCCGGCCCCCACGGCUCCCCAUCGACCU
rnacentral:lncRNA from 1 species